rnacentral:rRNA from 1 species
CCUACGGGCGGCAGCAGUGAGGAAUAUUGGUCAAUGGCCGCAGGGCUGAACCAGCCAAGUCGCGUGAGGGAUGACGGUCCUAUGGAUUGUAAACCUCUUUUGUCAGGGAGCAAAGGGCGCCACGUGUGGCGCUUUUCGAGUACCUGAAGCAAAAGCAUCGGCUAACUCCGUGCCAGCAGCCGCGGUAAUACGGAAGGUCCGGGCGUUAGCCGGAUUUAUUGGGUGUAAAGGGAGCGUAGGCCGGCUUUUAAGUCAGCUGUGAAAGUCCGCGGCUCAACCGUGGAAGUGAAGUUGAAACUGGAGGCCUUGAGUGCACACAGGGAUGCCGGAAUUCAUGGGGUAGCGGUGAAAUGCGUAGAUAUCAGGAAGAACUCCGAUCGCGAAGGCAAGUGUCCGGGGUGCAACUGACGCUGAGGCUCGAAAGUGCGGGUAUCAAACAGGAUUAGAUACCCCUGUAGUC